rfam:Oreochromis niloticus linkage group LG14, whole genome shotgun sequence.
UCCCAUAUGGUCUAGCGGUUAGGCUUCCUGGCUUUCAACCAGGCAGCCCGGGUUUGACUCCCGGUAUAGGAA